UUCCGUUUUGCAUUUCAUAGAUCUAUCAUACAUAACAUAGUACAGAAGGCCGAAAAAAAACAUUUGUCCAUCCAGUUCAGCCUGUUAUCCUGCAAGUUGAUCCAGAGGAAGGCAAAAGAAAACCUGUGAGGUAGAAGCCAAUUUUUCCCACUUAAGGGG